AACGAACGCUGGCGGCAGGCCUAACACAUGCAAGUCGAACGCCCUCCUCGGAGGGAGUGGCAGACGGGUGAGUAACGCGUGGGAACCUACCCAACGGUACGGAAUAACUUCAGGAAACCGGAGCUAAUACCGUAUACGCCCUUCGGGGGAAAGAUUUAUCGCCGAUGGAUGGGCCCGCGUUUGAUUAGCUAGUUGGUGGGGUAAAAGCCUACCAAGGCGACGAUCAAUAGCUGGUCUGAGAGGAUGAUCAGCCACACUGGGACUGAGACACGGCCCAGACUCCUACGGGAGGCAGCAGUGGGGAAUAUUGGACAAUGGGCGCAAGCCUGAUCCAGCCAUGCCGCGUGAGUGACGAAGGCCUUAGGGUUGUAAAACUCUUUCGCCGAUGAAGAUAAUGACAUUAGUCGGUAAAGAAGCCCCGGCUAACUCCGUGCCAGCAGCCGCGGUAAUACGGAGGGGGCUAGCGUUGUUCGGAAUCACUGGGCGUAAAGCGCACGUAGGCGGACUGGACAGUUGGGGGUGAAAUCCCAAGGCUCAACCUUGGAACUGCCUUUGAUACUGUCAGUCUUGAGAUCGAGAGAGGUGAGUGGAACUCCGAGUGUAGAGGUGAAAUUCGUAGAUAUUCGGAAGAACACCAGUGGCGAAGGCGGCUCACUGGCUCGAUACUGACGCUGAGGUACGAAAGCGUGGGGAGCAAACAGGAUUAGA
rnacentral:rRNA from 1 species